AGGACGAACGCUGGCGGCGUGCUUAACACAUGCAAGUCGAGCGGAAAGGCCCUUCGGGGUACUCGAGCGGCGAACGGGUGAGUAAUACGUGAGCAACCUGCCCUUAGCUCUGGGAUAGCUCCGGGAAACCGGAAUUAAUACCGGAUAUGACCUAGGCCGACAUCGGCCGUGGUGGAAAGUUUUUCGGCUAGGGAUGGACUCGCGGCCUAUCAGCUAGUUGGUGGGGUAAUGGCCUACCAAGGCGACGACGGGUAGCCGGCCUGAGAGGGCGACCGGCCACACUGGGACUGAGACACGGCCCAGACUCCUACGGGAGGCAGCAGUGGGGAAUCUUGCGCAAUGGGCGAAAGCCUGACGCAGCGACGCCGCGUGGGGGAUGAAGGCCCUCGGGUUGUAAACCCCUUUCAGCAGGGACGAAGCGAAAGUGACGGUACCUGCAGAAGAAGCGCCGGCUAACUACGCGCCAGCAGCCGC
rnacentral:rRNA from 1 species